AUCGGAGUUGCUUCUAGACUGGUAUGCCCUGUUACGAGUGCGACAGCUGACCAGUGUGACAACUGUCCCCGCUUGCGCUUGCACCUCUAUUCACCUCUACUGAUUGCAGCGCAUGAAGGUUGUGUAUGAGGACUACCCCUUCGUAAAUAACGGCAUGGCGUCUCACCUUCUUUCACCAACAGAGUCAAUUCACCGUCUAUCUGAGCCGUCGUCGCUUUUUCAUAGGAAUUGUAACUGGUUCCUCAAGACCAGGGACGGGCGCACUUCAUCUCAGACGGAAUUGCCUUUUGGUCUUGUUUCCUGUUACGAAAGUUCCAUUGUAGGUCUUCGAAUGAAGAGUAUUUUGACCGCAAACAUGGAGCGCUACAGGAACCUACCUCAAAGCUGCCUUCUCUUGCUUGUUUCUCCGUGACGUAAUGAACUACAUGGGAAGUGAAAAAAGGUCGAAGGCAGAAAAAGAAAAUACUUGAUUUUCUCUGCGGGUGGGUGAACCCGGGAGGCCUUUGUACGACUUAAAAAGACUUGUACGACUUGCUUGAAAAUAAAAGUACGAUUUCUGCUCCA